UGAUCGAAAAAUCAUAUCUGAAAAAUUAUUCAUUGAGGCUGUCAGACAUCGUCGAGUCAGUUCGGAUUGACUUCGAGUCGGCUCAAAUGAUAUUUUUCAAAAAUCCAACCUUCUGUUCAACUAAGAGAGCUAGCUCGGAUCACUCUUCAAGCUGGCUCAACAGCUUCUUCCAGAAAUCAACAUUCUAUUUUUUGAGAGAGCCAACUC
rnacentral:lncRNA from 1 species